rnacentral:rRNA from 1 species
GACGUAGGGCGCGAGCGUUGUCCGGAUUUAUUGGGCGUAAAGAGCUCGUAGGCGGCUUGUCGCGUCGACUGUGAAAUCCCGCGGCUCAACUGCGGGUCUGCAGUCGAUACGGGCAGGCUAGAGUUCGGUAGGGGAGACUGGAAUUCCAGGUGUGAGCGGUGAAAUGACGUAGAUAUCAGGAGGAACACCGGAUGGCGAAGGCAGAUCUCUGGGCCGAUACUGGACGCUGAGGAGCGAAAGCGUGGGGAGCGAACAGG